ACUCCUACGGGAGGCAGCAGUGGGGAAUUUUGGACAAUGGGCGCAAGCCUGAUCCAGCCAUUCCGCGUGCAGGAUGAAGGCCCUCGGGUUGUAAACUGCUUUUGUACAGAACGAAAAGGUUUCUACUAAUACUAGGAGCUCAUGACGGUACUGUAAGAAUAAGCACCGGCUAACUACGUGCCAGCAGCCGCGGUAAU
rnacentral:rRNA from 1 species